rnacentral:lncRNA from 1 species
GUUAAGAAACGGGUCAUUUAGUAGCCUGUUGUCUGAGUAACGUGUUGGUUAUAUUUUGUCCACAGCCUUAUCUUUGCCAUACAGACUUCCAGUUUGUAGGAAACAGGUUUGCAGGUCUGUCUACGCGUAUGUAAAUAUUUCUGGCUGUUUUAAAAACUCAGCACCAGCCAAAAUUAAGAAAAAGGUCUAAAUGCUAAACAUAAACUGCUACUAACUUAACCACUUUACAUAAAUUCCUGCUGGAAGAAUUCUUCUCUCUGUCUCCUUGAGGAUGCCAUUUGUUCUCACAAUCUGUGGUGAGACCACAGCGAGCUGCCUGACCACAGCAACUGCUGCAGAGCUCCGCUUGCUGCACACUAAGAGCACUGGAGGGCCUGACCUCCUCUUUCCUGCCCGAGACUCUUCACUAUUCAAGAUCAGUGGUGUUAUGUGCAGGGACAAGGGAUGUCCCCAUCUCCCAGUCAUUUUGAGUUUGUUCCAGAAGCUGUGCACAGAAAACAGUGAAGCCUGCUGACUGCAUCCCUUACUGCUAACUGUCCCAUUGGUUUUGACUCUCGGGGGACACGGGCUUCUUACAGCCCUCAAGAAGCUGCCUUUGGAAAUGUGUAUUUUUAGCGCUGGAGGCCCCUACCUCGAUCUCUGGCAUCGACCAAGAGGACAGCUGUCACCAGGGACUGCAGACAGGUCGGUGUUCAAUACAUCGCCAAGUGGGAGGGCAGGAGCGAUCAGAACUGG